CUCAUACGGGUAUAAAUAGUUGACUUUCGCUCCUUCGAUCUUCAUUCUACAAAGUUGUAACAUCGUUCUUCUGAGGGAGCUUGUGGAGCGAAACAAAAUGAAGAAGACAGUGCUGUGCUUCAUUUUCGUGGCAGUUGUUGUCAUUUCAUGCACUGAGGCGUCAAUAUGGAGUUUUCCUGGAGUUGAAAAUCACGCUAGAUGCCUCGCCCAGUGCAACCCUGUGGGAAAUGGAACCCAGUGCGGCGAGGGAUGCACGUGCCGUCACAAGGUGGACCAACCGGAACAUAUUGGAACGUGCUUGGUGACUGAAAUCGAACCACCGGCGAUAUACGAGUGAUUUCUUUCUUUCUGAACAAAAAAAAAAGAUAUGCUCAGUUCGCAAGAUGGAUGGCAGUAAAGGUACCUUUGUGGACGCUCUAAA